GAGCACUUGCUUGGACAGCUCUUGGACUAAAAUGAGAAUGAUAAAAAAUUAGCAUAGCAUCUGCACAAGGGUGACAUGGAAAUUCCUGAAGCCUUCCAAAGUUUU